GCUCACUUCGGCAGUACAUAUACUAAAAUUGGAAUGAUUGAGAAAAGCUUAGAAAGGCCCCUGUGCAAGGAUGACAUGUAACAUAGUGAAGAGUUCCAAGUUAUA